UACGAAGGGGGCUAGCGUUGCUCGGAAUCACUGGGCGUAAAGCGCACGUAGGCGGCUUUUUAAGUCAGGGGUGAAGUCCUGGAGCUCAACUCCAGAACUGCCUUUGAUACUGAGAAGCUCGAGUCCGGGAGAGGUGAGUGGAACUGCGAGUGUAGAGGUGAAAUUCGUAGAUAUUCGCAAGAACACCAGUGGCGAAGGCGGCUCACUGGCCCGGUACUGACGCUGAGGUGCGAAAGCGUGGGGAGCAAACAGG
rnacentral:rRNA from 1 species